AAGACCUCGCGCUAUUGGAGCGGCCGAUGUCCGAUUAGCUAGUUGGUGAGGUAAUGGCCCACCAAGGCAACGAUCGGUAGCUGGUCUGAGAGGAUGAUCAGCCACACUGGGACUGAGACACGGCCCAGACUCCUACGGGAGGCAGCAGUGGGGAAUUUUGGACAAUGGGCGCAAGCCUGAUCCAGCCAUGCCGCGUGAGUGAAGAAGGCCUUCGGGUUGUAAAGCUCUUUCGGCCGGAACGAAAUCGUCCGGGCUAAUACCCCGGAUGGAUGACGGUACCGGAAGAAGAAGCACCGGCUAACUACGUGCCAGCAGCCGUGGUAAUACGUAGGGUGCAGGCGUUAAUCGGAAUUACUGGGCGUAAAGCGUGCGCAGGCGGCUUCCUAAGUCAGAUGUGAAAUCCCCGGGCUUAACCUGGGAACU
rnacentral:rRNA from 1 species